CACCUUAGUGAGUUAUCAAAGCCAGUCAAAGGUCAGCCUUAUUCUCCAAGCGUGUGAGCCACAACAAACUACAAACACCUCGCUGUUCACUUGUAUUUUUGCUCUCCGUGACCAUGCCAGUGACUAAAAUGCUUGGUUUCUUCCUCCUUGGCAUUCUCCUCUGCUCAACUUGUCUCUUUGACAUAAAUUGGCCGACCAGCGUGCACUGUGUGCACUAGUGCAUGCGGUGACCAUCGCUCUGGCAUGCCAUGGUCGUGAGCUACAUGGUUUCUUUCUCGGGCCUCUCCCCCUCUCGUCGUUCUCGCGCAACCAGCCAUGUCCAACAGCUCGCCCGUGUCGUCCUCAUCCCCUGGACUCAUCUCCCUCUCCCGAAGCCUCCUUGUUAGCGCUCGUCAUCGCUCGCCCACGGGAGCACUAUGGCCGACAAUGCAUUAAUGGCGCCAAUCCUCUUCCUUUGCCCCCCUUGGCUCCUGCUGCCCCGUGACCUUCUGUAGCUCGUCCGCUCCCCCCUUGUCGUGUUCCCGCGCCCUACCAUGACUGCUGCUUGUGGCCAGAGCUUUGGCCGAGCUCUCACGACGGCAACCGGCUCAACCACCUCGCCCCGCCUAUAUAUAGCCCACCCCGACCCUCUCCAAGCUCACCAGCCUCCUCACCACUCUCCCAGAGACCCGCCCGACCACUCCAUCGAGUUCCCCUCCAUUGCCGCCACGAUCGCCGAUCGGCCAUGCCUAAAUUCCGGCAAGCCAGUGCCCCUCCCUCUAUUCUUUCACCACAAGAGGCCUCCCUGCUCCAUCGCAAGCCUCCCCCGCCCCUCCUUUGGCCGCUGGAGCCGCCGUGGCCGCGUGCCCAAGUUCGCCUGAAGCCUCACCCGCCGGCUUUGGAGCUGCUCUUGCCCCGGUCCUCCCCAACGCCCAAGAUGCCUCUGGACGGGUGCGGCACUCCUCCAUGACCCCGACGGUGGCUCGCCUUGACAAGAGACGGCCGGAGCCGCCGGGGUCUUGCCAUCUGCGCUCGGCGAGAGCCGCCUCCGUCGUCGUGUUCCACCCUCCCCGCGCCUGUCCGAAACCCUCUCUGGAUGCGGUACUCGCCGGUGUGCCCUCCUGACCCCUCGCCGACCAGAGUAGCUUGCCGGAGCAGCUGCUUCCGUCGCCGGCCGAUCGCCCCUGUCCUCCUCUGUUCUUCGCGUCGGGAGGAGGAACAAGGAGCGAGAGGAGAGAGAGAGAUCCCGUGGACCCCAUGUCUCAGUCGGCUGAAGUGGUUAUAUUGUGAACCUUCACUGUUUAGCCCCUUUUCUGCCUAAAAAGUGAACGGCCACAACUUUUUACUCGCAACUCCGGUUGAGCCCCCUCCGGGAGAGAAACAUUUCCGUCGAUUCGUUCUGCGAGCUUUCCGCACUUCUCCCCGGUGCAUUCUUGAUCCCCAGGGAAGCCACAACCACCAUUUGCAUGAUAGCCAUGCAGUAGCAUUGGUUUUCAACUUGAAUCUUUAAUAACUGUCUAUUUAUUUUGCUACUGCUAUCGUUAUUUCGGUUAUGCUUAUGUAUCUGUGGUUACCAUCAUGCUCACUCUGUUAUCAUGUUCUACCUGCUAGUAUUUCUUUCAUAUGUUCAUACUUGCUAGUAGUACAUGUUGGCUUGGUCAUGUUCUUCGGUGCAUGACUAUUGUCGGUUACCGAGUAUCGUUGAAAUGCGUGUUUCUUUGUUGUUAGUUGGUUAAGUGCCUACUUGGUAUUGUUCUUGAUGUGUUCUCGCAUGGUAUUCAUGUUGAUGUUAGUGGUCAUGUUAUGCUAUGAGUAGUGUUAUACUUGUGAUAUUCAUGCUCGUCAUUAUGCCAUGCUCAUGUGGAUACGAUCUGUGGUUGUUCAUCUAGUUAAUAGUUAUGAUGCACCCCAUGCUUAUGAUGAUAUCAUGUUCAUGCUUUAUAAUUGCAUCAUGUUAUUUUAUUAUGGCUAAGCUCAUUUCAAUCAAGUUUUAACCGGACUUAAAUGAACUUGAACAACUGUUGGCUGAGUCAUGUUGCCACCAUAUUGAUGUGGAGCAUCCUACGGUCAUCCCCAUGGACCUACCAUCAUCUCACCAAGCACCAAGAGGACCCAUGACAGGAGCACGAGCUAGAGCUCUCGAGACCAAGGUGACUUCUCUCCUUAGUGGUAUCUCAUAUGAUCCUCUCGAGACAUGGCUACUACCUAAGUCUGGAAUGUUGUGCAUGAUUAGGUACCAAGAGGACCCUCCCAAAGAUGCACAUGAAGAUGGUCAAGCCACCAAGUCCACGGAAGAAGAGACCCAACGGAAGAAGGCAACGACAGCUUCCAGGCACCGGACAUCCGGCCAUGGCCCCGGACAUCCGGCCCCUAGAGAUCUACCCCUUAGCCAUGGGUCUGCAGCAGAAGCUACAGGGCCCAGACAUUCGGCCCUCCACACCAAACAUUCGGCCUCCAGCCCGGACAUGCGGACACGCCAUCCAGGGAGCACAGAAGGCUGCCCCGACGGCCCGGACAUCCGGCCAUCACCCCAGACAUCCGGCUCCUCCCGAAUCCCCAGACAUCCAGCCCCUCCGCCCGGACAUCUGGCCCCGUCUAUCCAGAGAGCAGCAAGGCUGACUCCACUAGCCCGGACAUCCGGCCCGACAGCCCGGACAUCCGGCCCCUCGCGAGCGCCCGGACAUCUGGCCCCACGCGAGCGCCCGGACAUCCGGCCUGACGCCCGGACAUCUGGUCCCCUCCUGCGUACGUGCAGCGCCUCCGGGCCGAGGCCCAUGUAUCCCUUUGCCCCUUAGACUAUAUAUACGUCCUCUCCACCUACGUUUUAGAGUUAGCAUUGGUUAGCUCAUUUGAGAUAGAGCAUUGCUCAUCCGUACGGAUCUACUCCUCGUGAGGGACCGCACCUCUUCGGAGAAGAUCCCUGAUACAUCCAUUUUGCAUCAUGCUUUUAUAUCAAUAUUUAUUGCAUUAUGGGCUGUUAUUUCA